rnacentral:rRNA from 1 species
GACGAACGCUGGCGGCGUGCCUAACACAUGCAAGUCGAACGGGGAUGCAGUUUGACAUUUUCGGAUGGAUAACUGUUAUCCUAGUGGCGGACGGGUGAGUAACGCGUGGGUAACCUGCCCUGUACCGGGGGAUAACCUGGGGAAACUCAGGCUAAUACCGCAUAGGGCCAAAGCUUCGCAUGAAGCAUUGGUGAAAACUCCGGUGGUACAGGAUGGGCCCGCGUCCCAUUAGCUGGUUGGUGAGGUAACGGCUCACCAAGGCGACGAUGGGUAGCCGACCUGAGAGGGUGAUCGGCCACACUGGGACUGAGACACGGCCCAGACUCCUACGGGAGGCAGCAGUGGGGAAUAUUGCGCAAUGGGGGAAACCCUGACGCAGCGACGCCGCGUGAGCGAUGAAGGCCUUCGGGUCGUAAAGCUCUGUUCCUGGGGACGAAGAAGUGACGGUACCCGGGGAGAAAGCCCCGGCUAACUACGUGCCAGCAGCCGCGGUAACACGUAGGGGGCUAGCGUUGUCCGGAAUUACUGGGCGUAAAGGGCGUGUAGGCGGCCCUGUAAGUCAGGUGUGAAAGGCCACAGCUUAACUGUGGUAUUGCACUUGAAACUGCGGGGCUUGAGUGCAGGAGAGGGAAACGGAAUUCCUGGUGUAGCGGUGAAAUGCGUAGAUAUCAGGAGGAACACCAGUGGCGAAGGCGGUUUCCUGGACUGUAACUGACGCUGAGGCGCGAAAGCGUGGGGAGCGAACAGGAUUAGAUACCCUGGUAGUCCACGCUGUAAACGAUGGGUACUAGGUGUGGGUAGUUCACACUAUCCGUGCCGCAGCUAACGCAUUAAGUACCCCGCCUGGGGAGUACGGCCGCAAGGUUGAAACUCAAAGGAAUUGACGGGGGCCCGCACAAGCAGCGGAGCAUGUGGUUUAAUUCGAAGCAACGCGAAGAACCUUACCAGGACUUGACAUCCCCUGACCGCCCUGGAGACAGGGUUUUCCCUUCGGGGACAGGGAGACAGGUGGUGCAUGGUUGUCGUCAGCUCGUGUCGUGAGAUGUUGGGUUAAGUCCCGCAACGAGCGCAACCCUUAUCGUUAGUUGCUAACACUUCGGGUGAGCACUCUAACGAGACUGCCGGGGACAACUCGGAGGAAGGUGGGGAUGACGUCAAAUCAUCAUGCCCCUUAUGUCCUGGGCUACACACGUGCUACAAUGGCCGGAACAAAGGGCAGCCAAGGAGUAAUCCGGAGCCAAUCCCAAAAAYCCGGUCCCAGUUCGGAUUGUGGGCUGCAACCCGCCCACAUGAAGUCGGAGUUGCUAGUAAUCGCGGAUCAGCCAUGCCGCGGUGAAUACGUUCCCGGGCCUUGUACACACCGCCCGUCACACCAUGGAAGUUGGGGGCACCCGAAGUCAGUGAGCCAACCUUUUUGGGGGCAGCUGCCGAAGGUGAAACCAAUGACUGGGGUG